UCGCCAUCACCCUCCUUCUCGCUGGAGUUCUCACAUAUGUUCUGUGCAAGCGCAAAAAGGAGAAGCUCCUGCAAGGUGUGCAUUAUGUGUCUGUGUAAUCAAUUUCAAUGUCUGAGCAGCAAAUGGAAGGAUAUGAGCUCCCUGCUGAUCUACCUGAGAAGAUACCAGAAGCUGCUCCAAGUCACCGGGACCAGUCCAGCCAUGUCAGAGACCGAGAAAUCCAGGCUUCAGACUGGCCAAUUUCUAGCUUUGCAGCCUGAACUAGAAGGC